GAAUAUUGAGUUAAUAGUAAUUAAAAAAUAACAUUUAGUAAUUAAAAAUAACAUUUAGUUCAGAUGAUGUCACUCUUGACUGUACUCACUCCCGAGCCCUAACCUUCUCCCCCUUUCUCUUCUCACUCCUGAGCCCUAACAUUCUCCCUGCACUCUCUUCUUCCCUCACACUCGUUCUCCCUGCACUCUCGAGCCCUAAACUAAUCUGAUUUCCCUCGCACUCAUUCACAGUUGUUUGACGGGAAGCGUAACCUCGCACAAUUGUUCUCCUUCCGUGAGCUCACAGUCUUGUGACUGGAACCCUCUAUUUCCUUCUGCCAAACCACCAUCCUCCCUCAUUGGGACCGCAUAUUGACGCAUUGGAGACAUCGUUUUCCUUGAGUCGAACCAUAGUUGUCCUUCUACUUCAAGCCCAGUUUGAAAUUGCGAUUAAGGAAACCCUAGGUUGGUUUCGUCGAUCUGGAAGAUAUAAGUUUGAGUUGUCAUUGUCUUCUACACCUGAUUGCACAAUUUGUGUUUGGAAUGCAUCUGACGGAAGCUUAGUCACUCAUUGACUGGGCAUACUGAAUCUCCUCUUCAUACCAAGUUUUAAGUACUAAACUUAGCUGAAGAACUUGGCAGGAGAUUGUUAGCUGUAUUUGAUUCUCCUACAGCAUCAGGGAAUACCAGAUAACGGGUAUUUAUGGCAGAGUUAAUUCCCAGUUAAGCUCCCCUAGCCAGCCAUAUUCUUUGAGAGAGGCUCUAGCUCAAGCACAGUCUUCUAGGAUUGGAGCUUCUGCUCAAGCACUUUGAGAAUCUUUGCAUCCACUUUUGAGACAGAAUUUGGAACUUUGGGAGGAAAAUUUGAGUGCCUCAGUCAAUCUUAUACAUUGCAAGAACUGAUCAUAGAUGUUUAAGCUAUAUACAUGGAAAUCGAUAUAUCAGCCUUUCAGUGCACUGACUCGGUGCAUGUUUUGUUAAGUGGUACCCCUGCGAUUGUCCCGUAGAGAGCUUCGAAACCAUCAGAUUGGUUUUACGCGUUCCAUAUCCGGUAAGUGGUUUUCUCCUCUUCUUCGCUGUUUUGGGGCCUAGGGCAUACUAUCCAUUGAUUCGCAUGAGAAUGUCCCUUUCCCUUUCUGUUUUCUUCAAAAUGUUGAGUUUUAAGAGCUGUUUCCACCACCAUUUGAUGGUUUGUAAGGUAUUGUUAAAGUCUUGGCCGAGUGAGUUGUUGUGGACAACGUGUGGUGAGCAAAAUUGUGCUUGGAAAUCAAGGUAAGGGGAGCUGGAUGUUUGCUUCUGUUUAGUGAACUAAGAUACCAUGAAUUAGAUUACUGUUUAAAGAUGUGCAAUGAUGUUUAUGUGAAAUUGCUUUGUAUGUGAAUAUUGUAUGAAUUGGAAUUGAUGAUGCUGUGUGUUAGCUCUAGUACCCAUUGUGUAUAAAUUGUUGAAACUGUGAUUUUUGUUUGGAGGUGAUACAUUGGUAAAAAUUAGUGUGUUGCGGGUAUGAAAGCCGUUAUACAAGUUACUGGUUAGGGAGUCAAUAAAUUACAGGGUCCUGGAUCACUCAUGAGAGGAACUAAGAUAGCAAUUUGGAGCAACUAGGGUCUAGUGUGUAAUUGGAUUGUUGGGACAACUUAGACAAGUUAAUUAUAACCUGUUAGGACUAUAAAAUUGGUUAAAAUGAGGUUCUAAAUGACAUUCUUCUGGUUGAGAUGUUUGAUGUUAUUUGACUGUUAGGGUGUAUGUAUGUCUAUAUGUGUGACUUGUGUGGUUUGAAAUAACAUGUUUGUGAAAUGAAAUGAUGAACUUGAAUGUGAACUGGACGUCUCAGGGUGAGAUAAUUGAAAGUAAAGUGAGGGGUGUUGUUGUUGUUGUUCUGUAUAACUGUAUGGAGCUGUGAAUGGUGAGAGAAGAGGGAGAUCCUCGUCUAUGGUCUUAGAAUUUAGACAUAGACAAAUUGGGGGAUUUACCUUGCAUAGUGUUGGAGAUGAUCAAUAGUUCGACAGUUAUACAAAUUCGGAUGAGUCGUGUUGAGUACUUAAUGCAUGGUUUGAAUGGUAUGUUUGAUUGUUCUUUUUAUACAUAACUAAAUAUGAUGAUAUUGAUUGAUUAUGCUAUAUGUAUGUUGCUUGUUUACCUAGUUUACCCUUAUUUCUGUGUUGUGUGUUGUUUGUGUAUGUUUUUCCUUUGCGAUGAUCAUCCACUUGGAUGAGAGCAUUUGUUGUUGAGGAAGUUCCCCUUGAACAAGAGCUUGAGGACGCUAAUGUUGUAGCUUAGUUUAUCUAGGAAUUCUACCUUCUUGUAUUUUGAGAUACUCUGACAUUUGAAUUCUCUUAGUUUGCUCGUCAUUUUGAAAAACUUUAUUAUACUUAGAGUUUUAAAUUCGGAUGUUGUUUUAAGGAUGAUUGUAAUCCUAAUUACUUAUCUAACUGCUUUCUAGUAUUAUAUUUGAUGACAUCAUCAUAUUAUUAUAUCCUUGUCAUAUAAUUGGAAUGUCACAAUUCUUUCUGUCACGUUCCAAUAUUCCCACCACUUCCAACUUUCACUUUCUUUUCUCUCCAUGAAACAAUCCAUCUUCCUUUCACUGCACCAUAUGACAAGUAACAUCUUUUACUCAAGCUAACAUUCUCAAUAAUCCACUUACGCAUUUCCUGCAUGCUCCAUCAACCCUAAACUCAUGCAUUACUCUCCACGAGGUUUGUACACCUCACAUCAUUUAUCUGUAGGGUUGUACAUUUUCCACGAGGUUUGUACAUCUCACAUCAUUUAUCCGUAGGGUUGGUACACCCUCCACGAGGUUUGUACACAUCACAUCAUUCAUCCGUAGGGUCGGUACACCU